rnacentral:rRNA from 1 species
AUUGAACGCUGGCGGCAGGCCUAACACAUGCAAGUCGAGCGAGCGGCGGACGGGUGAGUAAUGCCUGGCAGUUGACCGGGCGAGGGGACUAACAGUUGGAAAGGACAGCUAAUACCACAUACGGAUGGAUUGCCCAGGUGGAAUUAGUUGGUUGGUGAGGUAAUUGCUCACCAGGGGGACGAUCCCUAGCUGGUCUGAGAGGAUGAUCAGCCACACGGGAACUGAGACACGGCCCAGACUCCUACGGGAGGCAGCAGUGGGGAAUAUUGCACAAUGGGCGAAACCCUGAUGCAGCCAUGCCGCGUGUGUGAAGAAGGCCUUAGGGUUGUAAAGCACUUUCAGCGGGGAGGCGUUACUCGCAGAAGAAGCACCGGCUAACUCCGUGCCAGCAGCCGCGGUAAUUC